GUGAUUUUUAUCUGCAUUGGAUCUACUUUAAUAAACCCCACAGCCUGAAUAGCAGCUACUAGGGUAGUGCCAGUGGAUGUAUAUGGAGACUGGGCUGGAAUGGCUGAGUGUGUGGGUGCGCAGCUGGGAGCAGCCAUGGCAGUAAGUAGACAGCCAGUAACUUCUGAUAAAAGGGAGUAUCUGAAAACUGAAAGGCCCCAUAGGAAUGCCAACAACAUUUCAGAAGUUUUCAACCCAAAUUAAAGACGAAAAAAGUGAAGUAGAUGAUGCAAUAAAGAGUUGGCAAAUUCCCAGCUGGGCGCGGUGGCUCACGCCUGUAAUCCCAGCACUUUGGAAGGCCAAGGCGGGCGGAUCACGAGCAUGGUCUAUAGAAGAAGAAAGAAUUCAUCAUCAUUUCUAGGAAUAUCCCCAAUCAUAAUCCUAAGACUCCAGCUCAAAACAAUAACUGGCAACUCUUCAAUAAUUAAUUAAAGGAAGGCACACCCUCAAAAAA
rnacentral:lncRNA from 1 species